rnacentral:lncRNA from 1 species
CCAUGAGUAAGGCUAGUCCUCCGUGAAUGGAAGCCGUGGUGGGAUAGACAAGACCGCUUCUUUGUGGACCCUUCGUGGGUGGAGCCCUCUAUGGACUCUCGCAGCCGUUACCCUCCGUGGUUUGAAGUCUCCACUAACAUGGACGUACGAUAGCGCCACCAAUCGGAACCAUGACAAAAAUCGCCGUGUCAACCUCAUGUGUUUGAUCUCCCUACCUUACUCCUCUACAUUCCACUUGCAUGUUUUACUUUCCGCUGCUACACUCUUAGAACUGCAUGUGUAGGGUGACUUAGACUUGUUACAACUGCUAGAUUUCUGCCCUCCUAGAAAUUAGGUUAGGCUAGAAG